AGCCACACACAAAUUCUCGACCACAACCUGUUGGUGAUGUAACAUUCAAAAAAGAGAUGCUUGAAGUCUUCAACAUACUGCUUACAGAAUGCACACAUUGCUGGAACUUGUAUGCCCAUGGUCUGUAAUCUAUCAACUGUGGGGAGCUUAUGCUGAGCAGCCAGCCAAACAGUAAACUUAUGCUUAGGAAGUACAUUAGCAAUAAGCAUUAAGUUCUUCCAUG
rnacentral:lncRNA from 1 species